UACAGAGGUCCCAAGCGUUGUUCGGAUUUACUGGGCGUAAAGGGUGCGUAGGUGGCGGGGUAAGUCUGGUGUGAAAGCUCCGAGCUUAACUCGGAAAAGCAUUGGAAACUAUCCCGCUGGAGGGUCGGAGGGGAGACUGGAAUUCUCGGUGUAGCAGUGAAAUGCGUAGAUAUCGAGAGGAACACCAGUGGCGAAGGCGAGUCUCUGGACGACUCCUGACACUGAGGCACGAAAGCUAGGGGAGCAAACAGG
rnacentral:rRNA from 1 species